rnacentral:rRNA from 1 species
UCACGGGAGUAGCAAUACAACGUGGUGGCGACCGGCGCACGGGUGAGUAACGCGUAUGCAACCGUACCUAUCGAGAGGGGAAUAACCCGGCGAAAGUCGGACUAAUACCGCAUAAAACAGGGGCACCGCAUGGUGAUAUUUGUUAAAGAAAUUCGCUGAUAGAUGGGCAUGCGUUCCAUUAGGUAGUUGGUGAGGUAACGGCUCACCAAGCCGACGAUGGAUAGGGGAACUGAGAGGUUGGUCCCCCACACUGGUACUGAGACACGGACCAGACUCCUACGGGAGGCAGCAGUGAGGAAUAUUGGUCAAUGGGCGGGAGCCUGAACCAGCCAAGUCGCGUGAAGGGAAAAGAAGGAUCUAUGGUUCGUAAAACUUCUUUUGCAGGGGAAUAAAGUGCAGGACGUGUCCUGUUUUGUAUGUACCCUGAGAAUAAGGAUCGGCUAACUCCGUGCCAGCAGCUGC